UUUUUGUCUAAAAAGAUAAAUCAUUUUGAGAUUAAAUUAUUUUGUCCCUAAAAGUCUAUUUAUUAGUGACAUUUUCAAAAUUUUGUCUCUAAAAAUCUUAUUUUUGACUUUUCGAGAUGACUUUUUAACGACUAUUUUCAUGACGAUAAAAAUUGAUUCCUAAAUGUCUUUUGUAAUAAUUUUUUCACUUUUAAAGAUCAAAACAGUUAAUUUUUAAAAUUUUUAUAUGUUAUAGUAAAUAUGUUAAAAAUAAUUAAUACAGAAUUUUGUAAGCAUAAAAAUUCGAUAUAUUCAAGGGCAUUCGAUAGUGCUUAUAGUUCUAUCUCUUUUACAAUAAAUAUUUUUAGUAUACAUUUUUCUUAAAAAAUAUUUUGAAAACAAAUAAGCGAAAUAGGAAUGAGAUGGCUGGUGGUAAGAAUUCAACACAAAUAGUGGCCUAGCGUGGUAGAAUCAUUGAAAUUUGUCACUGAAAGUCGUGAAUAGAAGUCAGAGUGGCAAAGGUGAUGGUGAUUGAAGGGAAUGUAGAUUUAAAAUGUUUAUAUAUAUAUAUAUAUAUAUCAGAAUUCUAUAUAAUUAACAUUUUCCAAUGUAUAUCAUGUUUAAAAAAUGAUAUAUUUUGGUAUGAUCUAAAUAAGUGUAUUUUUUAAAUUUUUAUGAAAUAUGAGUUGGGUAUGGGUUGUGUUUGAAGUGAUGUAUUAGAGAGUGAUGUGACUUAAAUAAGAUGAUAUGAUUUAAAUAGGAUAGUGACUUUUUAACUUUUUCAAUUUUUUUAAAGAUGCCAAACUAAGCCUUAAAUAAAGUUUUCUUAAAAAAAAUUGUUGUUUAAGAUAUUACUAUGUUCCAAAAUAAUGAUUCUUUUUUAGAAAUUUAAUUUUUUUUAAUAGUAUAAUUAUUGUAUUUUAAAAAAUUAAUUUUUCAAAAUUACCCUUGAUAGUACAUUUUUUAGAGAAUAUCAACGUUAUAAUUGUAUUUUUUAUAUUGUUAAUGAAUUUAAAAGAAUGGUAAAAUAAGAAAUUUUGUAUUAUUUUUAUACUUAAUUUUUAAAAAAUGACUUAUAUUUUGAGAUAAUGAAAAAUGAAAUAAGGGAUUAAUAUUAUGGAAUGGAGAGAGUACAUAGUGCCGUUUUGGGGAGAAGUCAAAAACUCAAGCGUUUUGUUGGUUUAAAGAAAAAGCUGGGCAGUCGAAAACAUAAUUUGUUGCAUUUGGGAUGUGACAAAAACGCUGCCUUGUGAAAUUACCUAAAUACCCUCCAUGUUAACAAAUUACCUAAAAUUUCAAAGUUUGGCAAGGGUAUUUUGGACAUUUUAUUUUGAUAUGAUGUUAUAAAUAAUUAUUAACUCAAAAAGUCAAAAGUCAACUUUUUAUCAAUUUUCCAAAUCACUUUUUAAAAAAGUCAAAAGAUUUGAUAAAAAGUUAAAAGUUAAUUUUUUAUCAACUUCUCAAAACACCCCAUAAUUAAGUUCUCUCUCAUACGAUUGUGCACGUGGAAACUCAUGUGUAUGUAUUUAUUUAUUUUUAAUUCAAGAUAUUGCUCAACUUUAAUGCACACUGACGAACCAAUUAUUCAGAUCGAUCAUAAAUGUGUUGGAAGAGAUAAUUAAAACCCUCUUCUUUCUUCGG